GUACUUGUAACCCAUAAAAAUGCAGCCUACAUGAAUAUACACAAAUAUAAAAACUGAAAUUCAUAAUACAGUAAGGCAAAUAUAAUAAAUAUGAUAUUUCUUAAUGUCCGAAUAAGUAAAAAUUUAUUAAAUGUGACUAAGAAUUCAUAGAAACACAAACAUCUAUAAUGGUAUUGUCCAGACGCUUCCCCUUUAAGAAAUCCGAACGUAGUGCGCGUGCAACUGUAGCGCGCAUUCUUUGAACAGUAACGGUCAAAGAGGAGAGGAAGCUGAGAAAUCGAGUGAUUAAUUAACUUGUUAAACGUUUAUUUAAAGACGCUAAAAAGAAAGAAAUAACAUACUUAUCUUGUUAUUGUUAACGAGCGAUAUAAUUGUAUAUUAAAUAAUAUAAAUAAAUACCAAAUUCAGUUCAUUUUCAUACAUUAAAUGUGGAAGCUAUAAAGCUAUAUAGCUAUAAAAAAUCCAAAUUAAACCCUGCGGCUCGUGACGAUACAUUGAUGUGUAAAGACACAAAACGAUCGGUCUGUGCAAGAAACUGAACAGUAUUUAUAUCGGGGUUUUUUUAAUCUCUGAUUCACGCGCUGUCCGAACUGUUAGAACUCUCGUGAACGCGCUUCACAGCAGCCUAUCAUCUUGACGGAGAUUCAGAGACAGACUGAAGCUGGACAAUCAGACUGGAUCUCUGAGCAUCACAAACAGCACAAUAAAACACACUGUGUUUCUGAACUACAGAACAACGAUGUGAGAAAGAGUUAUAUUUCCACUGUUAACGCUCGUCUGCUUGUUUCUGUCAUCAGCACAGACUGUCCUUCAUCAUCAUCAUCAUCAUCAUCAUCAUCAGGAUCUCAUCCCAAUCCCAUGAGCAAGCAGACUCAACAUCUGGACAUCAGUGAAUUCUGUCACACAUGUUCAGACUCUGAACACUGUUGUGCUUCUACUGAAGCUGUGAUCCAAUUGGUCCUCUCUGCUCUGGUGGGCGUGGCUACUGUCAUUCUUCUGGUUUAUGACAUCAGAUCCAGAAGAGCUGAACAGGAUCGAGCACAGAUUCACACAUCAGUUACAGGAAUAAUGAUGUAAUUUCUCAUAAAUGAAUAUUUGUGAGAUGUAUUAAUUUUAUUCCUCUAUGUGUUCAUUUUUCUCAGGAAGUGUUGAAAUCUAAAGCAGAACUGAACUUUAAAGGUUCUUCAAGUGUGUUUUAGUGUCUUUGUCAUAAUAAAUAAUGAUGAUUAUUUCAGCUGGCACUCUUUCUUUUAGUGUCAGAUAAAAAAAAACAAAAAAAAAAAACAAAAUCCAAUUUGUAAAGCUUUAUUGUUUAUUUUUCUCUCAACUCAACUCAACUCAACUUUUAUUUAUAAAGCACUUUCAAAACCAUUAGAAUGGACCAAAGUGCUGUCCAUAGGUAGGCUGAUCAAUACUCUAAAAUACAUACAAACCAU